UACGAAGGGGGCUAGCGUUGUUCGGAAUUACUGGGCGUAAAGCGCACGUAGGCGGAUAUUUAAGUCAGGGGUGAAAUCCCAGAGCUCAACUCUGGAACUGCCUUUGAUACUGGGUAUCUUGAGUAUGGAAGAGGUAAGUGGAAUUCCGAGUGUAGAGGUGAAAUUCGUAGAUAUUCGGAGGAACACCAGUGGCGAAGGCGGCUUACUGGUCCGGUACUGACGCUGAGGUGCGAAAAGCGUGGGGAGCAAACAGG
rnacentral:rRNA from 1 species